AAGAAUCGUCAUUUCGCUUCGGAGUUGUCUGAGAGAAUUUCUCUUAGCGUGAGACCUUUUGUUGAGGUUAUUCUAUGAUUCGACUCGGAAAAUGGACAGCUUUCCCCCUCCAGAUAAAAAGAAACGUACGAAAAUCAACAAACGUGCAAAUGCACGGCGAGAUCCAGCGGAACGAAACCCACACUUCAGUCUGACAAUUGAAGUUAAAAAAGGAUCAGCAAAGUCGUUUGGAGGCUAUCAAACAAAGGAUAAGCAACGCUAAAUCGGCUCUUGGUAUAGGUAGACAGACUUCUACCAUGCAAAAUGCUGAUUUAAUGGAGAGACUUCUCUCGUAUUUUGAAAUGAUUUGUUCAUUAGCUGUGGAAAGUAGGUCUUCAUCCAUCACCAAGACUGAUGUGCUCGAAGGACCGAGAAUCCAUUGUGUGAAUUUUGUGGCGAAGAUUACAAAUAGGCUUCAGCUAGUUUUUCAAGUCAAGGGCACGUUUGUAAGAUUGAAGUUCCCUGUGUGCGUAAUGACUCAGUUACUUGGCUCAGUUCUGGAGUUUUCGACACCCUGCAAAGUACUACGCCAUUGUUAGAAUGGUUCCUGCAUUCACAUGUACUGGACUUACUGAAACUCAGUAGUUCAGGAAUUGUGCAACAAAAAAGACAAUGGCUGAUGCAAGGGCAGAAGUUAAAGCUAUGCAAGGCUAUAUUGCAAGUGGGAAUGUAAGUGUAUGAUAACAGAUACCAGACAUAACUCCAUUCUACAGUGACAGCUAUUUCUGAGCAUACAACUUAACAAAGGUGGGCCAUGACUGUGUCAGAUCAUUGAAAAAUUGGUUUGAGCAAAGAGGCAUCAAGAAUUCCUUUGACACCUGGCAUGAGAUGAUGUAGCUUUGGUCUUGGAAUGAGUUUAUUGAUGAUCAAGGAUGGUUCAAGGCAAAGAUCACAACCUAAGGUACAAUCAGUGGAAGAAGAACAUGGAAAAUGCUGAUCAAUCCCUCAAGAUAUUGCAUAGUGGAGUUCAGAAUUAGGGCAUACAGUGUAUUGUGAAAGAAUAUAGCUUCUAUUGUACCUUAUUGUCAUUAUACAAAGAAAUGUAUACUAUUUUGUAGGGAAGUGCUGAUGGAGUAUUGUAAUGCUGGUUUUAUGAACGACGGUGAGCACAGUAUGGCACUCCAUUAGGAUUUGGCCACCGUUUCCGAAGAUCUUCCACAACACAGACUGGCAGGACCUUUCAAACAUCUUCCAUGUAACAUCCCAAUGCUUCCUUCCUGGCUAUGUAAAUAAGAUCGCGCUAUAAACCGUGGCGGGUUAGAAUUGUAUAAAAACGUCUAUUGUCGAUCUCUUGACUAAUGAGCUCGUGCUGCAGCUCGACACAUGUAGGCGCUGCAUUUUCCGUGGCUUCCUUGUCUUCGGAAACUGUCAAAGAAAGCAAAAUUAGCGCUGUAAAGGACAUCGUUCGAGAACGUUGCAAAUGGAGGGUAAAAAUAUGUUUCGGCAAACUAAAACGCCCAAGAUAAGAUUUUGUAGCUGGCAGAAAAAGGCAUACAAUUCAGAUUAAAAAGUAUGACCCAACAUAUGGCCUUUAAAUAUUUAUCCGUUUUGCGAGUUCCCGAUCAUUGGAAACAGGACAUUGAAUAUUUAUGCUUCACGGUCUGACAGUAUUAAACAAUACCCCCCUCGGAUCGGACUUGACAUUACAAAUAGAACAAUUAUUGGCAUAGACAUUGCGAAAAGUGGAUUAAUAUCAGUUUGCAAUCUUGUUGUAAAUAUGAUUCGUUGAAGAGCCAACUUACCUGGCGUGGAUUUUUUCUUUCGUGGUUUCUCUACCCGAACGAUCUCCCCGUUGUUCACGGUAAGCCAACCGUUCAGCUCCUCGAUUAAACUUUCGUCUGAUAAAAUUCUAA
rnacentral:lncRNA from 1 species